UCCCUGGUGACUCAGAUGGUAGAGCAACUGCCUACAAUGCGGAAGACCCAGGUUCAAACCCUGGGUUGGGAA
rnacentral:tRNA from 1 species